rnacentral:rRNA from 1 species
GACGAACGCUGGCGGCGUGCUUAACACAUGCAAGUCGAACGGAAAGGCCCUGCUUUUGUGGGGUGCUCGAGUGGCGAACGGGUGAGUAACACGUGAGUAACCUGCCCUUGACUUUGGGAUAACUUCAGGAAACUGGGGCUAAUACCGGAUAGGAGCUCCUGCUGCAUGGUGGGGGUUGGAAAGUUUCGGCGGUUGGGGAUGGACUCGCGGCUUAUCAGCUUGUUGGUGGGGUAGUGGCUUACCAAGGCUUUGACGGGUAGCCGGCCUGAGAGGGUGACCGGCCACAUGGGGACGGAGAUACGGCCCAGACUCCUACGGGGGGGAGGAGGGGGGAAUAUUGCAAAAGGGGCGGAAGCCUGAGGCAGAAACGCCGCGGGCGGGAGGACGGCCUUGGGGUUGUAAACCGUUUUCGCCUGUGACGAAGGGGGAGUGGCGGUAAUGGGUAAAGAAGCACCGGCUAACUGCGU